CCGGGGAAAGUCUCCGUACACAAGGCUGAGAUGAGGGUAGUAGACA
rnacentral:RNase_MRP_RNA from 1 species